AGAAGGCGCUGUUGAGUAAAAGGAAUGAACAGCAAACAGUAAAGGAGGAGAUGCCACUCAGAGAAGAGAAAUCCAGUGUUUGUCUCCUAAAGAUUCAAGUGCUGAAGUUUGUCAGGGAAUCGCAAAAGACAUCAUUGCUGAAAUGGACUGCAAACGGAGAUGAUUUGGUCUGAGUGCCUGCCAGAGCAUCGGAGAUGGGUGGAACGGUGGAUCCCAAAGAGAUAAGUCCUUUUCCCCAGUACCACAACCUCUUCCUAGGCUGUGGUUCUGUUACAACAGCCCUCGAAAAUUAAUACAGG